rnacentral:rRNA from 1 species
GAUGAACGCUAGCGAUAGGCUUAACACAUGCAAGUCGAGGGGCAGCAUGAUCUUAGCUUGCUAAGGUCGAUGGCGACCGGCGCACGGGUGCGUAACGCGUAUGCAACUUGCCUUACAGAGGGGGAUAACCCGUUGAAAGACGGACUAAAACCGCAUACACUUGUAUUAUUGCAUGAUAUUACAAGGAAAUAUUUAUAGCUGUAAGAUAGGCAUGCGUCCCAUUAGCUGGUUGGUGAGGUAACGGCUCACCAAGGCGACGAUGGGUAGGGGAACUGAGAGGUUUAUCCCCCACACUGGUACUGAGACACGGACCAGACUCCUACGGGAGGCAGCAGUGAGGAAUAUUGGUCAAUGGGCGAGAGCCUGAACCAGCCAAGUCGCGUGAAGGAAGACAGUCCUAAGGAUUGUAAACUUCUUUUAUACGGGAAUAAACGGGC